rnacentral:rRNA from 1 species
GACGAACGCUGGCGGCGUGCUUAACACAUGCAAGUCGAACGGACAGACAGAGAGCUUGCUCUCUUGAAGUUAGUGGCGAACGGGUGAAUAACGCGUAAUCAACCUGCCCUUCAGAGGGGGAUAACAACGGGAAACCGUUGCUAAUACCGCGUACGAUUCAUGAACGGCAUCGUUUAUGAAUGAAAGGUGGCCUCUAUGUAUAAGCUAUCGCUGAAGGAGGGGAUUGCGUCUGAUUAGCUAGUUGGAGGGGUAACGGCCCACCAAGGCAAUGAUCAGUAGCCGGUCUGAGAGGAUGAACGGCCACAUUGGGACUGAGACACGGCCCAAACUCCUACGGGAGGCAGCAGUGGGGAAUCUUCCGCAAUGGACGAAAGUCUGACGGAGCAACGCCGCGUGAGUGAUGAAGGUCUUCGGAUUGUAAAGCUCUGUUAAUCGGGACGAAAGAGUUCUGCGUGAAUAAUGCUGAAAAGUGACGGUACCGGAAUAGAAAGCCACGGCUAACUACGUGCCAGCAGCCGCCGUAA